rnacentral:rRNA from 1 species
GACGAACGCUGGCGGCGUGCCUAAUACAUGCAAGUCGAGCGAAGCGGCGGAUGGGUGAGUAACGCGUGGGUAACCUGCCCUUAAUCUUGGGAAACCAUUUGGAAACGGACGCUAAUACCGGAUACAAAAGGAUGGACCUGCGUUGCAUUAGCUAGUUGGUACGGUAACGCCUUACCAAGGCGAUGCUGCAUAGUCGAGAUGAGAGACUGAUCGGCCACAUUGGGGCUCAUACACGUCCCCAACUCCUACUGGAGGCAGCAGUGGGAAAUCUUCCACAAUGGACGAAAGUCUGAUGGAACAACGCCGCGUGAGUGAAGAAGGUUUUCGGAUCGUAAAGCUCUGUUGUUGGUGAAACGGUAAUCAACCAGAAAGUCACGGCUAACUACGUGCCAGCAGCCGCGGUAAUAC